rnacentral:rRNA from 1 species
AUGCAAGUCGAACGGUAGCACAGAAGAGCCUGCUCUUCGGGUGACGAGUGGCGGACGGGUGAGUAAUGUCUGGGAAACUGCCUGAUGGAGGGGGAUAACUACUGGAAACGGUAGCUAAUACCGCAUAACGUCGCAAGACCAAAGAGGGGGACCUUCGGGCCUCUUGCCAUCAGAUGUGCCCAGAUGGGAUUAGCUAGUAGGUGGGGUAAUGGCUCACCUAGGCGACGAUCCCUAGCUGGUCUGAGAGGAUGACCAGCCACACUGGAACUGAGACACGGUCCAGACUCCUACGGGAGGCAGCAGUGGGGAAUAUUGCACAAUGGGCGCAAGCCUGAUGCAGCCAUGCCGCGUGUAUGAAGAAGGCCUUCGGGUUGUAAAGUACUUUCAGCGAGGAGGAAGGCAUCAAGGUUAAUAACCUUGGUGAUUGACGUUACUCGCAGAAGAAGCACCGGCUAACUCCGUGCCAGCAGCCGCGGUAAUACGGAGGGUGCAAGCGUUAAUCGGAAUUACUGGGCGUAAAGCGCACGCAGGCGGUCUGUCAAGUCGGAUGUGAAAUCCCCAGGCUCAA